rnacentral:rRNA from 1 species
UACGUAGGGUGCAAGCGUUAUCCGGAAUUAUUGGGCGUAAAGAGCUCGUAGGCGGUUUGUCGCGUCUGCUGUGAAAACCCGAGGCUCAACCUCGGGCCUGCAGUGGGUACGGGCAGACUGGAGUACUGCAGGGGAGACUGGAAUUCCUGGUGUAGCGGUGGAAUGCGUAGAUAUCGUAAGGAAGACCAGUGGCGAAGGCGGGUCGUCUGGACAGUUCCUGACGCUGAGGGCACGAAGGCCAGGGGAG